AGUGAACGCUGGCGGCAGGCCUAAUACAUGCAAGUCGAACGGCAGCACAGCAGAGCUUGCUCUGUGGGUGGCGAGUGGCGGACGGGUGAGGAAUACGUGGGAAUCUGCCCAGUCGUGGGGGAUAAUGUAGGGAAACUUACGCUAAUACCGCAUGCGCCCUUCGGGGGAAAGCCGGGGACCUUCGGGCCUGGCGCGAUUGGAUGAGCCCACGGCGGAUUAGCUAGUUGGCGGGGUAAAGGCCCACCAAGGCGACGAUCCGUAGCUGGUCUGAGAGGAUGAUCAGCCACACUGGAACUGAGACACGGUCCAGACUCCGACGGGAGGCAGCAGUAGGGAAUAUUGGGCAAUGGGCGCAAGCCUGAUCCAGCCAUGCCGCGUGAGUGAAGAAGGCCCUCGGGUUGUAAAGCUCUUUUGUCCGGAAAGAAAAGCGCCGGGUUAAUACCCUGGUGUCCUGACGGUACCGGAAGAAUAAGCACCGGCUAACUUCGUGCCAGCCGCCGCCGUAAUAC
rnacentral:rRNA from 1 species